rnacentral:misc_RNA from 1 species
AAGUCGUAACAAGGUUUCCGUAGGUGAACCUGCGGAAGGAUCAUUAACGAAUGAAGUUGAGCAGGGUUGUUGCUGGCCUCCGGGCAUGUGCACACCUUGUUCUUCCAACCUUCUACACCACUGUGCACUUUCUCAUGGGUUGGGGUUCUGCGCCUUUAAUGGCUGCGUCCCUGCCUGUGUGCCUACACAUACACAUGUUUGUUAUAGAAUGUCUACUGUGCAUGAAUGCAUAUAAUACAACUUUCAGCAACGGAUCUCUUGGCUCUC